AGUGCCAAGUGGGCCAAUUUUGGUCAGCAGAACUGGCGCUGUGGGAUGAACCAAACGUCGAGUUAAGGCGCCUCAAUCGACGCUCAUGUGAAACCAUGAAAGGCGUUGGUUGCUUAAGACAGCAGGACGGUGGCCAUGGAAGUCGGAAUCCGCUAAGGAGUGUGUAACAACUCACCUGCCGAAGCAACUAGCCCUGAAAAUGGAUGGCGCUGUAGCGUCGUGCCUAUACUCGACCGUCAACGGCAAAGGUGGCUGGCGGGCAACCGUCGGCCGUUACGCCUUGACGAGUAGGAGGGCCGCGGCGACGUGCGUAGAAGGGUCUGGGCGUGAGCCUGCCUGGAGCCGUCGUCGGUGCAGAUCUUGGUGGUAGUAGCAAAUACUCCAGCGAGGCCCUGGAGGACUGAUGUGGAGAAGGGUUUCUUGUGAACAGCUGUUGCACAAGAGUCAGUCGGUCCUAAGCCCUAGGAGAAAUCCGAAGCGAUGGGUUGCCGUGAAUCACCAAAAACGUGUUGGCACCCGUUUGGGCGAAAGGGAAUCCGGUUCCUAUUCCGGAACCUGGCAGUGGAACCGUUCCAAUUCGGGCCCUCUGAGGACUCGUCAGGGCAACCUGAAUAGACCCGGAGACGCCGACAGGAGGUUGGGGGAGAGUUGUCUCUUCUCUAUAAGCGAUCGAGUUCCCUGGAAACUUCUAGCAAGGAGAUAGGGUUUGGAUCGCGAAGAGCACUGCAGUUACGGCAGUGUCCCAAUCUUCCUCUCGGACCUUGAAAAUCCGGGUGAGGGCCAACGA
rnacentral:rRNA from 1 species